UACGUAGGGUGCGAGCGUUGUCCGGAAUUAUUGGGCGUAAAGGGCUCGUAGGCGGUUUGUCGCGUCGGGAGUGAACACACCGGGCUUAACUCGGUGCUUGCUUUCGAUACGGGCAGACUAGAGGCAUGCAGGGGAGAACGGAAUUCCUGGUGUAGCGGUGAAAUGCGCAGAUAUCAGGAGGAACACCGGUGGCGAAGGCGGUUCUCUGGGCAUGUCCUGACGCUGAGGAGCGAAAGUGUGGGGAGCGAACAGG
rnacentral:rRNA from 1 species